GCGCUCCCGCCCUCCCGGGACAGCUGAGGACACAGAGCCGGAACCACGGCUUUUUCCACACAGGCUCCAAGUGGACUGGGUUUGUUGGGACAGGAUCUGGGCGCUCCCUGCAGGGUUUUCUGGCUGUGUCCUGCAGAGGAGGCUGGGGCUGCUGACUUUGCAGAGCUCAAGGAGGGCUGGGUGUCCCCUCGCAACCAGGACCCAGUAUACCUGCUUACUAAUUUGGACACAGCUUUUGUGCCACGCUGGGCAAGCGUCCUUUCCUCUCUGGGCAGACCUCAGUUGUCCCAUCUGUGUGAUGGGGAUGUGAUAAUAACAGACACUGAACACCUUGCAUUUUCUCAACAGCUCUCUGAGGAGGGUGCUAUUGCUGCAGGGCUGGAGAGGUUGAGGAAUUUGCCCAAGGUCAUACAACCCCAACUGUGAAUUGGGGUUUAAACCCAGGUGGUCUUGCUCCACGGUCCCACACUUUUAGCCUCUGCUGCUGCUUCACAUAUUUAAGAACCCUGUCCACCGCUGCCCCUUCUGGGAUUCUGGAACCAAGAGGGACAGACCUGGAGCUGAGCAAAGGGCAGGCAGCCCCUACGCUCCUCUUCAGCCUCCCCUCACUUUUAAGGCUCUGCGUCGCCCUUGGAUGUACCAAGGCAGGGCUCCAUCUUACUCCUGUAUUCCUGAAUGCUGCCCCCUUCGCGGCCCCGCACACUCCUCUAACUUGCUCUUUCUUGCUGUAAGUGGUGGGGAGAGUCCCUGGGCCCGGGGCUCUGUGUGGUUGGGAGGCACGGGGCGGGGGCAAGGAGGGCUCCAGCCACCUCUGCUCUAUUUGUAGGUGCCCCCUACCCGCUCCCACUUCUGAUUCUGACUCAGAUCUCUUUCUUUGUUCCCAAGGACUCUGGGGAGUCCUGGUGCCUUGGCAAAUCCCCUCUUCCGUGUCAUUGCCAACCUCUUCUCCUGACUUACUCUCUCCCAAUGAGCCCAGGUCAGUGAAGGGAGAGGGUGGGGCAAGGGUAAAGCCUGAGUCUCCCCCAAAGCACUUUGCCUCAUUAGCCCAAUCUCCACUGCACCCCCUAUUUUUGAAAACUGGCUCCCGAUCUUCCCAUCCCUCCCACCCAGACCCGGUGACGCAGGACGUGGACCUCAGGCAGGGACCCAUAGGACCAGUGAAGGCCAGCCGCCCCAUCUCCCAGUCCUGUCUACCUCUGAAGUGCCCAGAGGGCUCCCAGAGCGCUGGGAGGCGAGAGGCCUGGGUUCUGUGUCCAGUCCCUUUCCAUGACCUCAGGCAAGCCUCUUCUCUGUGGCCCUCAGCUCUCUCAUCUAUUUGCCGAGGGGCACAGGUUUAGUUCCCUUGAACUGCUGAACUCCGCGGUCUGUGAUCCUGAGACCAUCUCUGUCUCAUCCACAUCCUCCACCCCAUUUCUCCCCACCUUCACUCUGAGCCCUGAGAAAUGGAGAAGCUGAAGACAAAAGGUUAAAUGAGGCUGGGCUCACGCCUGUAAUUCCAGCACUUUGGGAGGCUAAGGUGGGAGGAUCACCUGAGGUCAGGAGUUUGAGACCAGCCUGGCCAACAUGGUGAAACCGCGUCUCUACUAAACAUAAGAAAAUUAGCCGGGCAUGGUGGCAAACAUCUGUAAUCCCUGUUACUUGGGAGGCUGAGGCAGGAGAAUCGCUUGAACCCUGGAGGCAGACGUUGGCAGUGAGCCGAGAUCGCGCCACUGCACUCCAGCUUGGGUGACAGAGCAAGACUCCAUCUCAAAAAAAAAAAAAAAAAUGUUUAAAUGAAUCAGGGCCAGCAAAGGUGCUCCGUGUUCCUCUCUUCUUAAAGAAUAAAGGCACCUACCUGGUGUCCACAGGUGGGCAGACUGUUGCCUUCACUACUGGCUCCUGGGACCAAGACGACUCAGAGUCCAGGUGAAGAGUCAGGAGAGGCGCCAGUUCACCUCCAGACCUGCCUUAAAAGCAGCUUGCCCGCCUUCUCUCCUCCCCUCCGGGCGGGC
rnacentral:lncRNA from 1 species